UACGAGUGGUGCAAGCGUUAUUCGGAAUCACUGGGCGUAAAGGGUGUGUAGGUGACAAUUCAAGUCUAUUGUUAAAUCUCCUAGCCUAACUGGGAAAAUGCAAUGGAAACUGAGUUGAUAGAGGAUGGAAGAGAGAAGUGGAAUUCUUGGAGUAGCGGUAAAAUGCGUAGAUAUCAAGAGGAACACCGAUGGCGAAGGCAGCUUCUUGGUCCAUACCUGACACUGAUACACGAAAGCGUGGGGAGCAAACAGG
rnacentral:rRNA from 1 species